GACGAACGCUGGCGGCGUGCUUAAAACAUGCAAGUCGAGCGGAGCGGCGAACGGGUGAGUAACGCGUGAGUAACUGCCCCCCUCUCUGGGAUAACAGUUGGAAACGGCUGCUAAUACCGGAUAGUGGGGGAUGGCUCGCGGCCUAUCAGCUUGUUGGUGGGGUGAUGGCGUACCAAGGCGGUGACGGGUCGCCGGCCUGAGAGGUUGACCGGCGACAUGGGGCUGAGAUACGGCCAUGAGUACGACGGGAGGGAGCAGUGGGGGAUAGUGCGCAAUGGGCGAAAGCCGGAUGCAGCGACGCCGCGUGGGGGAUGAAGGCUUUCGGGUUGUAAACCUCUUGCGCUAUCGAACGGGUAGGUGGAGAAGAAGCGCCGGCUAACUACGUGCCAGCAGCCGCGGUAAUAC
rnacentral:rRNA from 1 species